UUCACCAAUGCCAGAGAAACACAAAUGUAGAUCUGCCAGUCAACACUCGAAUUUAAAUCCCAGUCCUUUCUCGUGGAACAUAUCCAGGAAAAAUGAAUAAAGCUCCAAGAAGUGAUGUAUGACUUUCAACUGAUCAAGGAAAAGAGGAGAGGAAGAAACAAAGGAAGAAGAGUUUGGUGAAGGGCAGCUUCAGGGAGAAGCCCAGAAUGUGUCCUGGGCAAGGGAAAGGAAAAGCAGGAAUCUGUGAGGCCUGAAGCCUGGGGGAGAUGUGCUGGACAGCUGGCUUUCCAAGCUUAGAAAGAGCCUGGUUCACUGGAGCAGCCAAGACACCAGGGCAUUUAAGAUAAGACAGGGGAAAACUAAGAGCAAACAGGAAGGGAAACUCAAUUUUCACGGCAAACUCUGGGAGAAGUUUCUC